rnacentral:rRNA from 1 species
AUGGCCAUCACCACCACCAACAACAACGGUGCCGCUGCACCCACCCAUGCCGCGGACGGAGCGGGCAACCAGGCCGGCCGCGACCACGUAGUCGUGUUCCCGUUCAUGGCCAAGGGCCACACCCUCCCACUGCUCCACUUCGCCACGGCGCUCGCCGUGCACCAAAAGAACCUCCGCAUCACCGUGGUCAUCACGCCCGCCAACCUCGCCUUCGCCCGCAGCCGCCUCCCGGCGUCGGUGCGCCUCGCGGUGCUCCCGUUCCCCUCGCUGCCGCCGCUGCCAUCCGGCGUCGAGUCCACGGACACCCUGCCCGGCCCGGACCUGUACCCGACGUUCCUGCGCGCCACGGCGCUCCUGCGGGCGUCCUUCGCGGAGUUCAUGGCGUCGCUCCCGGCCCCGCCGCUCGUGCUCGUCUCCGACUCCUUCCUCGGGUCGCUCAUCACGAGCCCGCCGCCGCCUGUCGCUGAGCACGGCGCAAGCUUCCACGUCGCCCAUAUGCCGGAACACGUGAGGAUCACGGCGGCGGAUGUCCCGGACACGAUCACCAAGCUCGGCGACGCCGAGGACCCAGUGACCCGGUUCCUUAUCGAUGACAUCGGCGAGUCCGACGCGCGCAGCUGGGGCGUCCUGGUCAACAGCUUCGCCAUGCUGGAAGAGGACUACGUAUCGGCCUUCAUGUCGUUCUACCAGCCGGGCGCGCGCGCCUGGCUGGUGGGCCCUCUGUUCCUCGCCGCCGGCGACGUGCCGGAGCGCGAGGAUGAGCAGGACCCGGAGGGGUGCCUCGCCUGGCUCGACGAGAUGGCGGAGCGGCCGGAGUCGGUGGUCUACGUGUCGUUCGGCACGCAGGCCCAUGUCUCCGACGAGCAGCUCGACGAGCUGGCGCGCGGGCUGAGGAGCGUGCUGGCUCACCCCGCGGUGGGAGGGUUCCUGAGCCACUGCGGGUGGAACUCGGUGAUGGAGAGCCUGGCAGCGGGGAAGCCCGUCCUGGCGUGGCCACAGAUGGCCGAGCAGCACCUGAACGCGCACCACGUCACGCACAUCAUCGGCGCCGGGGUGAGGAUAACGGCCGCCGGGGGCGCCGGGGCCGUGGUGGGCAGGGCGGAGGUGGAGCACAAGAUCAGGAGGCUGAUGGACGCCGGCGACUCGGACGGACAGAAAAUGCGAGCCAAGGCGGCCUGGGCUCAGAAGGCGGCCAAGUCAGCGGAUCUGGACACCCACGAGAGCACCAUAUGCAAGGAGCAUCGCAGGACAUCUUGUGACCACUCCUACUUCAAAGACAAGUUGUGUCGUCGCGUGCGGCUUGCUGGCAAGGAGGCCAAGUACUCUUCCAUGCUCGUCAAGGCCGUUAAGGCCAAGGCCGCUCGCCUCUCUGCUGCGGACGUGGGCACAACCAUUGAUCAUGCCAUCCAGGAUGCCCGCCUCAACGCUGCCGAUGGUCCUCCUGCCUCUCCUGAAGACCUGGCUGCCAUUACGCUGCUGUGUGGUGCCGAUGACGGCCAUGUUGACGCCAUUCUUGGAUCCGAGGCCUCUGCCUCCGGUGAGGACGACGCACCAUGA